CGUCGCACGCUUUCGUCAAGACUGAGGUAGGUAACGACUGAUGGGAACAUCCAACGAAACAUUUCUAAUGUUCUCUUUGGUUGUUACCACUAGAACACCAUCCAUGGC
rnacentral:pre_miRNA from 1 species